AUCGAACGCUGGCGGCAGGCCUAACACAUGCAAGUCGAACGAGAGGCGGACGGGUGAGUAAUGUCUGGGCAACUGCCUGAUGGAGGGGGAUGACUACUGGAAACGGUAGCUAAUACCGCAUACCAUCGGAUGUGCCCAGAUGGAAUUAGCUAGUGGGUGGGGUAACGGCUCACCUAGGCGACGAUCCCUAGCUGGUCUGAGAGGUUGACCAGCCACACUGGAACUGAGACACGGUCCAGACUCCUACGGGAGGCAGCAGUGGGGAAUAUUGCACAAUGGGCGCAAGCCUGAUGCAGCCAUGCCGCGUGUGUGAAGAAGGCCUUCGGGUUGUAAAGUACUUUCAGCGAGGAGGCGUUACUCGCAGAGGAAGCACCGGCUAACUCCGUGCCAGCAGCCGCGGUAAUAC
rnacentral:rRNA from 1 species